GGGAGUGUUCCCGAGCGGCCAAUGGGGGCAGACUGUAAAUCUGUUGCAUUUUUGCUUCGGUGGUUCGAAUCCACCCGCUCCCA
rnacentral:tRNA from 1 species